rnacentral:rRNA from 1 species
UACGUAGGCAGCAAGGCGUUGAUUCGGAGUUACGUGGGUCGUGAAAGGGUGUGAUGAGGCGGUUGGAUAAGUGUGGUGUGAAAUCAUCCCGGCGUUUAACCUGGGAGGGUGCGUCUACAAACUGUCUGACUAGAGUGUGGGAUGGGUAAGUGGAAUUCCUGGUGUAGCGGUGAAAUGCGUAGAUAUCAGGAGGAACACCGGUGGUGUAGACGGCUUACUGGACCAUAACUGACGCUGAGACACGAAAGCGUGGGUAGCAAACAGG